CCCCGGUACAGUGGCGCACGGGUGAGUAACGCGUAGAUGAUGUGCCGUGUUGUGGUGGAUAACCCGUCGAAAGAUGGGCUAAUACAGCAUGUUCCUGUGCACCGGGAGGUGUUCAGGCAAAGAGGGCCUCUGUAUACAAGCUCUCGCAACACGAUCAGUCUGCGUCCCAUCAGCUAGUUGGUGAGGUAACGGCCCACCAAGGCAAAGACGGGUAGCUGGUCUGAGAGGAUGACCAGCCACACUGGAACUGAGACACGGUCCAGACUCC
rnacentral:rRNA from 1 species